rnacentral:tRNA from 1 species
GGAGAGAUAGCAAAGAGGCUAAACGCGGCGGACUGUAAAUCCGCUCCUUCGGGUUCGGGGGUUCGAAUCCCUCUCUCUCCA